CCUCCGUGUUUUUUCUCUCUUUGUUCUUCUGUUGGUUUCUGCUGUCUCUGUUUAUCCUUGCUCGCACUGAGGACAUGUUGUUCAUCUCUGCACGGAGGCUGCUGCACUCAGUUGCACACAUGAGGACACACAUGUGGAGGUCAGGGUACAUCUUUACCGUUAACCUGCUGUGUUCAAAUGAGACCUUAAACACUGUGAUACACUGCAGGCAUGGCUGACAGUGGAUAAUAUAAAUAGAGACGUGCAGGUCUGAUCGUUAUUGUGGUUGUCAAGAUGUGGUAGUUUGCCACCUUACCUCCUCCAGCCCUGUGUUGUCUGUUGUUUUCCCCUUCCUCAUGUGGCUUGUGUGUCCCCCAACGUGUCCUUGGAUGUGUGUGUGUGUGUGUGUGUAUGUAUGUCACCUGGUCUGACUCCGUGGGUUCCACACCUGCUGCUGAUCACCGGCUCACCUGGCUGCAAUCAUUCAUCAGUCUCCACAGUUAAAUACCAGGCUCUCCCACAACACCAACGCCAGAUCGACCACGUACGCUAUCGUCUCUGCUCCUGUCUGGAUUUCUGUUUGCCUGCCUGCCCCUCCUAUGCUCCACUGUGUUUCCUCCCAUCUACCUCUCCACGGAGCCAGACCCGGGUGAAACCGUCCCACUGACGGCCAGUCUCUGCCCUCCGCCACCAGUCGACGCUCAUGGGUUACCAUUACCUUUCCCGUUUCCUGCGGAGGCUACAAAGGGAACUCCACCCUGAAGAUCUUUCCCUCUCCGCCUUUUGCUUGGCAAUAAAGAGUGACUUUAAUCACUA